rnacentral:rRNA from 1 species
AAUGGCUCAUUAUAUAAGUUAUCGUUUAUUUGAUAGUAUCUUGCUACUUGGAUAACCGUGGUAAUUCUAGAGCUAAUACAUGCUAAAAAUCCCGACUUCGGAAGGGAUGUAUUUAUUAGAUUAAAAACCAAUGCCCUCUGGGCUCUCUUGGUGAAUCAUGAUAACUUCUCGAAUCGCAGGGCCUUGCGCCGGCGAUGGUUCAUUCAAAUUUCUUCCCUAUCAACUUUCGAUGUUUGGGUAGUGGCCAAACAUGGUUGCAACGGGUAACGGAGGGUUAGGGCUCGACCCCGGAGAAGGAGCCUGAGAAACGGCUACUACAUCCAAGGAAGGCAGCAGGCGCGCAAAUUACCCAAUCCCGAUCCGGGGAGGUAGUGACAAUAAAUACUGAUACAGGGCUCUUUUGGGUCUUGUAAUUGGAAUGAGUACAAUUUAAAUCCCUUAACGAGGAACAAUUGGAGGGCAAGUCUGGUGCCAGCAGCCGCGGUAAUUCCAGCUCCAAUAGCGUAUAUUAAAGUUGUUGUGGUUAAAAAGCUCGUAGUUGAACCUUGGGCCUGGCUGGCCGGUCCGCCUCACCGCGUGCACUGGUCCGGCCGGGCCUUUCCCUCUGUGGAACCCCAUGCCCUUCACUGGGUGUGGCGGGGAAACAGGACUUUUACUUUGAAAAAAUUAGAGUGCUCCAGGCAGGCCUAUGCUCGAAUACAUUAGCAUGGAAUAAUGAAAUAGGACGUGCGGUUCUAUUUUGUUGGUUUCUAGGACCGCCGUAAUGAUUAAUAGGGACAGUCGGGGGCAUCAGUAUUCAAUUGUCAGAGGUGAAAUUCUUGGAUUUAUUGAAGACUAACUACUGCGAAAGCAUUUGCCAAGGAUGUUUUCAUUAAUCAGGAACGAAAGUUAGGGGAUCGAAGACGAUCAGAUACCGUCGUAGUCUUAACCAUAAACUAUGCCGACUAGGGAUCGGACGAUGUUAUUUUUUGACUCGUUCGGCACCUUACGAGAAAUCAAAGUGCUUGGGCUCCAGGGGGAGUAUGGUCGCAAGGCUGAAACUUAAAGAAAUUGACGGAAGGGCACCACCAGGGGUAAACCUGACCUGUGAAGCCGCAGUCAACUCUGCUCCAGAAAGCCGCCCGAAAGGGUCGGUGGUGUUCCUAGGGGAGAGCUCUCCCCUAAACUAAUGGCUAGUCCUGCCGCCCGCGGCAGGGCGACACCCUCAAACUGACGGGGAACUCCUAAAGCCCUCGCUCCGGACAGGCGUCGGGAAACCGACGGCCUGCUCACCAGGCUAACGACCUCGGGUAUCGGAAGCAACGCGAGAGGAUGCUACAAUGGACAAUCCGCAGCCAAGCCCCUACGGUGCGGCCUCUACGGGGGUCGCAUACGGGGAAGGUUCAGAGACUUGACGGGGGUGGGUGGCGCGGGCUCUUGGGGUGCAAGCCGCGUGCUUGCUUGCAGGCCCAGGCGCCCGCCGCUGCCUAAGAUAAAGUCCGGGCGUGCGCGAAAGCGUGCGCGGCAACCACGCAACCCGCCGUUUCCAGCGGGUGCGAGGCCCCAGAAGUAAAAACAACCGGGAGCCUGCGGCUUAAUUUGACUCAACACGGGGAAACUCACCAGGUCCAGACACAAUGAGGAUUGACAGAUUGAGAGCUCUUUCUUGAUUUUGUGGGUGGUGGUGCAUGGCCGUUCUUAGUUGGUGGAGUGAUUUGUCUGCUUAAUUGCGAUAACGAACGAGACCUUAACCUGCUAAAUAGCCCGUAUUGCUUUGGCAGUACGCCGGCUCUUAGA